rnacentral:tRNA from 1 species
GCGCCUGUGGUGAAAUGGAUAUCACAACUGUCUUCGGAACAGUUAUUCUGGGUUCGAAUCCUGGCAGGCGCA